UACGUAGGUGGCGAGCGUUAUCCGGAUUUACUGGGUGUAAAGGGCGUGUAGGCGGCUCUGCAAGUCAGAUGUGAAAUUUCCGGGCUUAACCCGGACGGGUCAUCUGAAACUGCAGGACUUGAGUACUGGAGAGGAUAGCGGAAUUCCUAGUGUAGCGGUAAAAUGCGUAGAUAUUAGGAGGAACACCAGUGGCGAAGGCGACUAUCUGGACAGUAACUGACGCUGAGGCGCGAAAGCGUGGGGAGCAAACAGGAUUAGAUACCCGCGUA
rnacentral:rRNA from 1 species